rnacentral:lncRNA from 1 species
UUUUUGGUCCAUGAAAAUUGGCAUGAUUAUGUAGAAAGAUAACAUUUUAAUUAUUUAUGUAAUCAGUCUGCCAGUGAAAAAUUGAGGGAUGGAAUUAGAAAUACACCUUCAUAUUUUUUUCAGGGAGUGCCCCUGGAUUCCCAACAACUGAUGAUAUUAUUUGCAGAAUUUAGAAUGAAAGUUCCCAAGUAAAAAUGUUUUUUAUAGGAUAGACUUGCGCUCACUUGUCAGCAUACAGUGGGCUAUGAUGUUUAUUCUGAGCAAAUAUCCCCAUUUGCAUCUGCUUACUGCAGAGAUACAUGCUGAUUCUUGCUUCAUUUUGUGCUUCGAUCUCAUGGAAAUUGUCUCCUCAUUCCAUUCUUUCCCAGACGAGACAUGGUCUGGGAAAGAGGCAUGGGAAGAGACCAUACUAAACUGGCUCCCAGACGAGGCAUGGUCUGGGAGCCUUUUUAAUCAUCUCUUAUGACAGGCAUGAAACGAUAGAUAAUUUGUCCCGACUUGUGGGAUGGGGGAAAAAGAAACCAUAAAAUAUACUUAUUCUCAUUUCUUGUUCUUUUACUUUUCUUGUAUAGUAUAGUCUACAGAAGAAAAUAUAAUACAGCAAGCACACAAAUUAUUUCAUAUUCUAACAAUUUAUACUUCCUUUAUGAUUAACACAUAAUCAAGAGUCCUAUUGUUAAUUUAUAAAAAAAUCAAAAUCUGAUUAAAAAAAACUAUCAAUUUUUACUUUUCCUAUAAGCAAAUACUUAUAGAAAAGUAAGGAAUAGCAG